UAUGAUGGGAUGUUCUUGACACACAUGCACACAAGUGAUGCUCUUGACAUCUAUCCGUUUUCUGUCAAUUCUUUACUUUUUCAGAUCAUUGUUAUUCCGGUCCUGAUCCUGGACUGAUUAAUAAAGAAUCUCCGAAUUAUCUGUAUUGACAUGGGUUGAAGUUGAAAUCUUAGUAAGUGCUUUAACUCUGUGCUUAUUUCUUUUCUGCAGGUCCAUAUGUAUGUAGAUUCUCGUGAGAAGGUCACUGCUCGUUAUCAGUUAAUUUGUCCAUCAAAGAGGGAAGUCAUGGUGUUCGGGAGCAUCAAACAGAGGGGCACCCUUUUACCAAAAGCUCCCAAGGGAUGGGGCUGGAGGACAGCCCUAUUAUUUGAUGAGCUUGCUGAUCUUCUACAAAAUGGGGCCUUGAGAAUAGCUGCUGUGGUACAGAUCAUUUAAGUGUUUCAUAUAUCUACUUAUUUCUGCCGAAAGAGAUUGUCUGAAAUUAAAAUGAGGAUUUUUUUUUUUUUUUUUUUUAAAAAAAGAAGGGUAGUUCAUCUCUUGGGAGAGAGUGCCUUUUGUACUGUUUGUAUGGGAAAUUAAAUGAAGCAGCAGCCAGUUUUUUUUUUUCU